rnacentral:rRNA from 1 species
AACGAACGCUGGCGGCAUGCCUAACACAUGCAAGUCGAACGAAGCCUUCGGGCUUAGUGGCGCACGGGUGCGUAACGCGUGGGAAUCUGCCCUUGGGUUCGGAAUAACAGUUAGAAAUGACUGCUAAUACCGAAUGAUGUCUUCGGACCAAAGAUUUAUCGCCCAAGGAUGAGCCCGCGUCGGAUUAGCUAGUUGGUGAGGUAAAGGCUCACCAAGGCGACGAUCCGUAGCUGGUCUGAGAGGAUGAUCAGCCACACUGGGACUGAGACACGGCCCAGACUCCUACGGAGGCAGCAGUGGGGAAUAUUGGACAAUGGGCGAAAGCCUGAUCCAGCAAUGCCGCGUGAGUGAUGAAGGCCUUAGGGUUGUAAAGCUCUUUUACCCGGGAUGAUAAUGACAGUACCGGGAGAAUAAGCCCCGGCUAACUCCGUGCCAGCAGCCG